rnacentral:rRNA from 1 species
UACGUAGGGUGCAAGCGUUGUCCGGAAUUAUUGGGCGUAAAGAGCUCGUAGGUGGCCUGUCGCGUCGGCUGUGAAAACUCGGGGCUCAACUCCGAGCUUGCAGUCGAUACGGGCAGGCUAGAGUUCGGCAGGGGAGACUGGAAUUCCUGGUGUAGCGGUGAAAUGCGCAGAUAUCAGGAGGAACACCGGUGGCGAAGGCGGGUCUCUGGGCCGAUACUGACGCUGAGACGCGAAAGCAUGGGGAGCAAACAGG